rnacentral:rRNA from 1 species
UACGUAGGGUGCAAGCGUUGUCCGGAAUUAUUGGGCGUAAAGAGCUCGUAGGCGGUCUGUCGCGUCGGCUGUGAAAACUCGGGGCUCAACCCCGAGCCUGCAGUCGAUACGGGCAGACUAGAGUGCGGUAGGGGAGAUUGGAAUUCCUGGUGUAGCGGUGGAAUGCGCAGAUAUCAGGAGGAACACCGAUGGCGAAGGCAGAUCUCUGGGCCGUAACUGACGCUGAGGAGCGAAAGCGUGGGGAGCGAACAGG